UACGGGGGGGGGCAAGCGUUGUUCGGAAUUACUGGGCGUAAAGGGCUCGUAGGCGGUUUGUCGCGUCGGGAGUGAAAACACACAGCUUAACUGUGUGCUUGCUUCCGAUACGGGCAGACUAGAGGUAUGCAGGGGAGAACGGAAUUCCUGGUGUAGCGGUGAAAUGCGCAGAUAUCAGGAGGAACACCGGUGGCGAAGGCGGUCUCUGGGCAUUACCUGACGCUGAGGAGCGAAAGUGUGGGGAGCGAACAGG
rnacentral:rRNA from 1 species